CCAAUAGCGUAUAUUAAAGUUGUUGCAGUUAAAAAGCUCGUAGUUGAAUUUCGGGAUCAAUAUAUCGGUCAUGCUUAGGUAUGUACUGGUAUUAUUGAUUUCUCCCUUCUGAAGAACCAUGAUGUCAUUAAUUUGAUGUCGUGGGGAAUCAGGACUGUUACUUUGAAAAAAUUAGAGUGUUUAAAGCAGGCAUACGCUUGAAUACAUUAGCAUGGAAUAAUGAAAUAGGACGUUUGAUUCUAUUUUGUUGGUUUCUAGGAUCGACGUAAUGAUUAAUAGGGAUAGUUGGGGGCAUUAGUAUUCAAUUGUCAGAGGUGAAAUUCUUGGAUUUAUUGAAGACUAACUACUGCGAAAGCAUUUGCCAAGGAUGUUUUCAUUAAUCAAGAACGAAAGUUAGGGGAUCGAAGACGAUCAGAUACCGUCGUAGUCUUAACCAUAAACUAUGCCGACUAGGGAUCGGAUGAUGUUAAUUUUUUAAUGACUCAUUCGGCGCCUUACG
rnacentral:rRNA from 1 species